AUAAUACUCCAUAGAUUAGAGACACUGGAAUGUUCUUUAGUCGAAAGUUCUGGCGCCUUAGGAUGGAUCUGCGGUCGAUUAGGUUGUUGUUGGGGUAACGGCCCAACAAGCCUGUAAUCGAUACGGGUUGUGGGAGCAAGAGCCCGGAGAUGGAAUCUGAGACACGAUUCCAGGCCCUACGGGGCGCAGUAGGCGCGAAAACUUUACAAUGCAGGAAACUGUGAUAAGGGAACUCCGAGUGCCCGUAUACGCGGGCUGUUCAGGUGUUUAAAAAUCAUCCGAAGAAAGGGCCGGGCAAGACCGGUGCCAGCCGCCGCGGUAAUACCGGCGGCUCGAGUGGUGGCCACUAUUAUUGGGCUUAAAGCGUCCGUAGCUGGACCGAUAAGUCUCUUGGGAAAUCCGCCGGCUCAACCGGCGGGCGUCUAAGGGAUACUGUUAGUCUAGGGACCGGGAGAGGUGAGAGGUACUCCGGGGGUAGGAGUGAAAUCCUGUAAUCCCCGGGGGACCACCGAUGGCGAAGGCAUCUCACCAGAACGGCUCCGACAGUGAGGGACGAAAGCUGGGGGAGCGAACCGGAUUAGAUACCCGGGUAGUCCCAGCCGUAAACUAUGCGCGUUAGGUGU
rnacentral:rRNA from 1 species